CACAACCCCCCCACAACCGCGGGCAGCAAACAAACCCUGCGACUGUCACAAUAUUCGUGGUGUGCGUUGGAACAUGGCCAGGGUCACAUCAUCUUGAAUGUUUUAACUCACAGCAGUUUCUAUAAACCAGAAGAGUGCUCAUCUCUAUAUUUAAAGGUGGCAAAAGCACCAAAGCUGAGAUCCACAAGUGAAGAAUUGAGUGUUCACAUCACCCAGGCUCCAAGUCAGCAUAAUAUUUCAGUUGCAAUCUGUAAAGCAUGCAGUCACUCAUCCGCAUUGUUUCGGGAUUGGAGCUGGCGCUUUGAAGCUGGUGGGAAGAACUCUCGGUUGUCUUCACCUAUCCACCUACCUGUGGAUACGUAGGAUUCAGGGCUCAGAUGCAAUUCCAAAAUAGCAAUUUCUAAAAUGAUAUUGCAGCCUGCAGACUCAAGCAGUCUGAAGAGCGUGUAUAAACCAGCUCCUGUAGGUCUCCCAUGGCUUGACAGUUUUGCCACAUGAGUGGCAACACUUCAGGUACUUAGCAGCUCUGCUUUCCUAUGGAGAUGCAGAGGUACCGAUGGUCUCUGCUGCAAGGUGUGACAGAUAUCGGCAGAGUCAUGGACAUGUGACACAGAGGUCCUGCUUCACACAGGAUGUAUUGAGAUGAGAUCCAGGGUGGAGGGAAGAUGUUGGAGAGUGGAGUAAAGGUUUGGAGAAAUGCACAUAGGAGAGAGACUGGAAAUGUGGAGUAAUUCAUGUUGCACAAGGCCACGACAGAUUUACUUCUUAGAGUGUAAUUUAAGAUGUCUCUUCACUCUUGGGGCCCCACACUGUUCAAGAGUGGCAUUAUCCAGUAUCAAGAGGACAUCAACUCAGUUAUGAACAUGAAUAUUCCCAGAAAAACACUGUUUCUGCUCUUUGAUAGGACACUGAAGCUCAGCACAAGUUCAAGCUUAAACUCUGCUGAGAUCCACAAACUAAAUGUUCUUCUGCACCUGCAGCCCUGCAGUAGGCAACACAGUGAUGCAUUAACACUCUGGCAUUCACUGUCGCCUCAGUAGUGCUCACUCUACUAAUAAUUACAACAACACAUGGCUAGCAACACAACAGGGCAAUACAUGGGUGGGUUUCCAUCCACUUAGUACCUCAGGUCCCGAUUGUGACUGUUUCAUCAGUACUAUAAUAAUACACUGUAAGGAUAGCUGAAAUGUGGAAAAGAAGCUAGAGAAAAUCCCACUAUGUUUUAAUAUAGCAAUCUUUGCAGCAUCAGAUCUACCAUGCUGGUUACAACUCUAUAACGAGACUCUCUGCAAGGUAAUCCUAGAGUGAGCACUACUGAGGCGCCAGUGAAUGCCUAUGGAGCUCACUGAGGCUCAGGGCUGAAGGAGAAGGGGUGUCUAUAUGCAGCUACAGCAUGGUGGAAAAAUAGCCAGGUGAAGGCAACCUGUGGGGCAUUCAUGGGAAGACUCAGAUCUCUGAUACAUGACUCAAGUUCAACCGGCAAGCUUUACAAGCAAACUUGGACAAGAGCCCAGUUUUAAGAAAAGCUAAACUCAAAUAGCAGUUUUACUUCAAAAUGAAGUGAGACUUGAAGACAAGUUUUGAAUUUUUGCCCUUUUUUCUGAACUGGAAACUUAGGAAGCCAAUAUCGCCCUGAAGCACAGGAAGAAACAAAUGCAGGAUUUACUCCAGAAGUAAUAUGUUAUUUACUCUUUACUCAUCUUUUUGUUUCAGCUAAUUCUUUACAGCUAAAAAAUGCAUUUAUGUGCAACAUGUUUAUUAAAGAUGUAGAAUGUUUAGAAAUCUUAACCUCAUCCUACAAACAUGUGGGGGUAUGAGUAAUUGUAUUCAAAUGAAUUCCUGCUAGCUUUGGUGGGAAGGAGUGAUUGACUUAAAACAUGUUAACAGAAUUAAGUUUCUUGAUAUUUCUUUAUCCUUCUGUGUAGUUUCACCAUUAAAUUUUAAAAACUCAUUAGAAUCUCCUAAGUGAUCAGUUCCUUUAUAUUUGAUGGUUAUACUACUUCCCUACGUUGUCAUGUUUCAAACUCUAUUUUAAAUAUGUGUUUUUUACUUCACAGUAAUGUUGCACUGCAGGUAUUCUUAUAACUAAUCUGUGUUAAGGUUCCUAAAGAUCUAUUACAGCUGACAAGUUUUCUUUUUUAAGCACUUAAAUACAGAUUUGAAUGGCUAACCAUGAAAGUAAAUCUUUCUUCAUUCUUCACCUCAUUCUAAAUUUAUUGCCUGUCAUACCUGACCAAGACCUUUCUGUGAAGGAGCACAGGAAUGCCAGGGAUUGACAUAAUGAGAAGUGUCUUUGUUACAAAAAGUUUGUUUUGCACCUUCUUGGUGGACUUGGCAGCCUUGGGUUUACAGUUGGACUCAAUGCUCUUAAAGGUCUUCUCUAACCUUAAAGAUUCUAUAAUUCUGUUCUAUGAUGUUAGUGAAAUUACUGGGAAUCUUUCAACUGACUGUGGUGGUCUGUAAAUCAGUAAUAAAAAAAUCCUGUUGCAAAAAUACAAAA